AGUAAUGUCUGGGAAACUGCCUGAUGAGGGGGAGUAACUACUGGAAACGGUAGCUAAUACCGCAUAACGUCGCAAGACCAAAGUGGGGGACCUUCGGGCCUCAUGCCAUCAGAUGUGCCCAGAUGGGAUUAGCUAGUAGGUGGGGUAACGGCUCACCUAGGCGACGAUCCCUAGCUGGUCUGAGAGGAUGACCAGCCACACUGGAACUGAGACACGGUCCAG
rnacentral:rRNA from 1 species